rnacentral:rRNA from 1 species
AACUUGAGUACAGUAGAGGUAGGCGGAAUUCGUGGUGUAGCGGUGAAAUGCUUAGAUAUCACGAAGAACUCCGAUUGCGAAGGCAGCUUGCUGGACUGUAACUGACGCUGAGGCACGAAAGCGUGGGGAUCAAACAGGAUUAGAUACCCUGGUAGUCCACGCCGUAAACGAUGAAUGCUAGCUGUUAGCGAUAUACUGUUAGCGGCACAGAGAAAUCGUUAAGCAUUCCACCUGGGGAGUACGCCGGCAACGGUGAAACUCAAAGGAAUUGACGGGGGCCCGCACAAGCGGAGGAACAUGUGGUUUAAUUCGAUGAUACGCGAGGAACCUUACCUGGGCUUAAAUUGCAGUGGAAUAACGUAGAAACAUGUUAGCCUUCGGGCCGCUGUGAAGGUGCUGCAUGGUUGUCGUCAGCUCGUGCCGUGAGGUGUCGGCUUAAGUGCCAUAACGAGCGCAACCCUCAUCGAUAGUUACUGACAGGUUAAGCUGAGGACUCUAUCGAGACUGCCGACGUAAGUCGUGAGGAAGGUGGGGAUGACGUCAAAUCAGCAUGGCCCUUACGUCCAGGGCUACACACGUGUUACAAUGGGGGGUACAAAGGGCAGCUACCUGGCGACAGGAUGCUAAUCUCAAAAACCUCUCUCAGUUCGGAUUGGAGUCUGCAACCCGACUCCAUGAAGCUGGAUUCGCUAGUAAUCGCGCAUCAGCCACGGCGCGGUGAAUACGUUCCCGGGCCUUGUACACACCGCCCGUCAAGCCAUGGGAGCCGGGGGGACCUGAAGUAUGCAACCGUAAGGAGCGUCCUAGGGUAAAACUGGUGACUGGGGCUAAGUCGUAACAAGGUACC